rfam:Aedes aegypti strain Liverpool supercont1.153 genomic scaffold, whole genome shotgun sequence.
UGCCCAGCAACUCCUAUCCCUACCUCCUCGCGGUACUGGCCGGGGAACGAGUAACCUUAGGGAAGAUCGGGUAACCAACCCCCGGUGGGAACUUUGGUCGUAUGCUGACAGGGAAGG